rnacentral:lncRNA from 1 species
UAAAACAUGAAUACAUAUAAUCAAUACCAAUUGUUAUAAAUACCAAUUGUUACUGAUUGUUAUGAAUACACAUAAUCAAUAAUACCAAUUGUUAUAAAAUCAAAACUUAACAUAAUUGAAGCACAUAAUCACAUAUUGCAUUUUAUCAAAUCACCAAACUAUCAAUCACAAACAUAUUCCCCCUAUCUAUGAGGAUAUAUCAAAAAUACAGCAUUUAUCAAAACAUGUAUCAAUAAACAUAAUUGAUAUCACUUUGCUGUUUUGAAAAAUAUUGUCAAGACAUGAAUCAAUCCAAACAUGAUUCUAGUAGAUGUUCAACGGCAGAUUUUCAACACAAGGAUUAACAAUUGUCAAACAUAGAUCAAUCACUUAAUAAAUGAUGCUUGUGAAAACAGAUUUUCCAGCAUGUCAAUCAAUAAGUAUAGUCAACAUGAAAUCUCACAUAUUGAUUUUUACAAAUAAAGCACAUCAACAUUCUUCAAGGUGAGAGUCAAGUUAACAACUCAUGUUAAUAACAACAGCUGCCACAAAACAAUAAUAACAACAAAUCUGUUAACAACAAUCAUUUGCACAGUUUGGUUCUAUUUAAAAUGAAUAGCUAACCGAAAUUCCUUUUGAU